rnacentral:lncRNA from 1 species
UCUAGCUCCUGCAUACCCUUGUGUUUACCCGCUCAGUGGGCUGGUGCCACCGCCUCCCGCUGCUUCUACACUUUUUCAUUGCUCCCUCCAACACACCUGUGAACCUGCUCUCCUUUGAUGCCCAUGGGGGCUUUGCUGUGAUCACUCCCGGUGCUCUUAUCUGCUGCUCAAUAUGUUUUUACAAGGAGUGAUAAGACACACAGCACUGGUGCCAAAUCACCGUCCCAGAUGUCCGUGGAGGAAGGAAGCAAAUGCUGACAACAAUGAAGUAAACGAGUCCACCGGUGUAGCAGCAACUUUUGGCACGGACGAUAGCUUGCCUUACAGGGAAAACAGCUUUCCGCAGAAGCCUAAGCAUAUGGUCGGCUCCUGUUUCGACAACAAGAUGCCGUGUCACCUUGCUAGCCACCUGUAGCCGGCGACCAGCCGACAGAGAGGGGGAUUUAAGCAGCAGACAUUGACGGAUUGAGGCUGUGAACCAGUGAUGGACAUCCAUUGCGGCUGUUCGGGGGGUCUCCUGCUGAAGCCAAGCUGUUUGUUUUCCGUCCUGCUCCUGAUCAAUUGACCCCGUGUUGGCCUCUCCGGUGGCAGGGAAUUCAAAUAAAAUGUGGGCAAUGCAACACGUCGGUUUCUAAGAACCACAAAAGAUUUGACUUGCUGCUAAUUGUGGUACAAUAACAGCAUUCAAAAUGUUCCAAAAAACAAUCAAACACAAGUUGAAUCUCUGUUAUCUUUUUGUUUUGUUGUUUUUUUCUGAGAAAAUGUGGACAUGGCUGCUUUCAAUUUCUAUUAAGAGACAAAUCAAAGUAGUUUUGAAGGC